CAUUUACAAUGUAAAAUGUGAGGAGUUGAAGGCAUAACACACUCACUUCUCUGUCUUGAGUCUCAAGUGAGACAGGGAAAGACAGCGUAGAAGUAGGAGGCAGAGGGAGGGGGAGGAGACAAGGAGGGUGGGAGAGAGAGGAAGAGAGGGAGGAAGGGAGAAAAAAACCAUUGUGGAUCCCACAGUCUCAUCUAUCCCAAGCGUGUGAGCAUCACAUCUAGGUUGUAACAAAGAGAUGAUCGAGUCCUUUCUUUUUAGUUGUAGACAGGCCGACACAGCGGGCACUGCGUGCAUGUCUGUCGCCUCCUCAAAGCCCCCAUUCCUUCAGGAGUCACGAGCUCCGAUCCAGAGAGGGCCUGGGGCACAGUGCUAGGCGCACCGAUCUCUUGGAGAGGCCGCCACAGGUUCGUGCGUGUGCGGUCUGGGGCGUUGGUGCAUCUUUACGUUAGGGAGACUAAGGAGUCCCUUCGGACAGACUUAUCUGGAUCCCCACAUUUUUCUGGGGGGAUCGUGGGAGGAGUGUGAAGGACAGGUAGCCCGUUCAUUAAGGAGCGCGGGGUGCGGACGAGCAGAGCCGGGGAGGAGCGGGGUGGCACUGCCAAAUCUUAACCGGGGCCCCUGGUGUUUGCAGACCCAAGUACAGUCGCCCUGGUCUCCAUGGUGCCGCCGCAGAAGCUGCUGCCCGAGAACUCUGAACCGCACCCCUGCCUCGGUUGGGGAUCCUCUUCCUCCUCCUCUCCCACUACGUACCUGGCCUGAGCUGCAGGGCGCGCCUCCCGGGGAACCCCUCUCAGCGGGACCUGCUCAGCCACCGUUCGCCUCCGCCCCCUGCCGCUGCGCCCGGCUGGCCCGGCUCGCCUAGCUCGUAGGCACCAUGGAGGAAUCCAGGGCAAACCCACGAGCAGCCGGUGACUAUUCCUCCGGAAUCUCUGGCCUGGCCCCUUUGGGGUGAGCCGAGCGGGGAAGGUGCUGUCUUCGCCGGUCCGAAGUUGCCCAGAAAAGGCCUGGUAGAGAGAGUAUCCGCGGAGGCUGGGAGCUCCAGGUCCUCUUCCAGCUGCGCCUUUGCCGCCUCCUUUUCCUCCACCCAGGUUUGUUUAUAUAGGAUCUGGGAGCUGGGAGGAACUGCCCACCCCCUGCAGGCGCCCACCCUCCCUUCCAGGGCUCCCACACGUGGUCGUGGUCGACAUCAGCACCUUCUCAGCAGAAGGCAGGAGGCUGCGAGCGAGGAGCAGCGCUGGGGGCGAGCUGGGCGCAUCUUCACGGUCUGCUCCCCUCCCCGGCGCCCUCACUCACUGCAAUCCCAGCUCCGACUGGGUUUCGCCACUCUCCGUCCCCUUCCCCCAGGGGAGAUUGAAGACAGCGCUCUUUCGGCGCUCCUGGCGCUUCUCUGGGUUCGCUCAGUGGCCGGAAAAUAAUGGUAACAUGAACAGCGGAGCGUGAGCGCGUCGCCGUCACCGGAGGAAGGAAGAGAUUGAUGGGCAGAGAGCUUACUUCAAGGAAUCACAUUCCUGGGGCUGCUCAGGGGAAACGCGGGCGCCUCCGCCUCCUGGCUGGACGCCGCUGACAUCUGUAGCCUCCGUUCCCUCGGGCUCCCAGGUCGCCAGCCUCUGCCUGCGGAGGAGCAUCGACAGGAGUUGGUGCGCCUCCAUCCAAACAGGAGUUCUCCCGGAUCCCGCGCGUCCCCGCAUCCAUCCCCAUUGAGCGCCCACCAGCACGCUGGCUUUGGAGGGAGUUGAACUUGAGUUCAGAUGCCCAACUCCCUCUGAAUCGUGCAGAUUGGUGCUGAGCACGCAACAAAAGUUUGUAGCUUCUCCGCAGUUCCUGGUGCUUGGCAGGGGAGAGGAAAGGACUGUGGCAUUCAACACCGGGAGCAGUCAGGGAGCCAUCUCCUUUAACUUUCCUUACCUGUUAUCAUUUGCAAUGAAGAGGAAACAGAAGAGAUUUCUGCAGAUGACUUUGUUAUUCAUGGUGGCUUUAAUAUUCCUGCCCAACAUUGGUCUCUGGUCUCUGUACAAGGAUAAGCACCUGGUGAAAUCCACGGAGCCUGGGGAGCAGCAGGAAGUCACAAAGGGAAGACU